GCUAACUCCGGAGUGCCGGCUUGUAGGGAGCGACCCUCACAAGCAUGUGCGAAUGAGCUCAAAUGGGAAGCAAGCAUGGUCAUCGUCUCAAGAACCCGAUCAUCAUGUCUCUAACAUGGUAAUAGUCACUAGCAACCCAUCGGUUUAGUUCUAUGUCUCAAUGUGAAAUUCCAAUAUUCACUAAAUCUAAUGCCCCUUUAUGACAUUAGAGUAUUGCUAUGUCCAAGCAUAUUCUAUAUUCAAUGCCUCUUUAUGGCACUAAUUCACUAGAUUCAUACAUAACUCUAGCUCUAUGUCUCUUUAUGACAUUAGCUCACUGUUUCACACAUCAUUCAAGUCUAAUGCCUCUUUAUGGCAUUAAGUUCUCUCCUAUGUCAAUUAUGAGAUUUAUGUCCAAGAGCAUUUUACACUUGUCAUUUUCACUAUAUGAAACAUGAUAUCAAGCCACAUAUAAGAAUGCUAUCCAUAUGCCCAAGCCCAACAUGAACGACUCUCUACUACAUAGAGGUCCAAAUAUACAUUGUAUAUAAAAUGUGCAUUCUAGGCAUUCUAAAAGUCACAAAUAUUCUAUCUAGCAUAAAUAUGCAUGAAAUUCUAUUUUACGACAAGUAUAAUCAUCAUAUGAGAAUUUUUAUCUCAUUUUGGUGAGGCCAGACCCACCAAGUCUCCUCGAAAUUCUUCGUUUGCGCGAAAGAAGUUGUCCACUAUUCUCCUAGCACCCUAAAGGUAAUAAAAGGAGAGUUAAACGAACGUUACAAACAUCCCUAAGGUCGAUCAUUAACCAUCUCAAGAACAGGGGCAAAACUCACCUAAAAUGGUGAAAAUCUCUUUCAAUCUCCAAAUGAGAGCAAGAACCCUUCUAAUCCAACCUAGAGGAAGGUUCUAAUCCAAGCAAUCGAGCUCCAAAAGCCCUAAAUCUAAAAUACCCAAAUAAACCCUAAGUUUCCAUUUCUAGGGUUUCCAACACAACAAAUCAUGAGAAUCAUGAUCUAGAGAGGAGAAGUAUGCAACUAACCUCUUUAGAUGCUCCAAAUGACCCAAGGAACCAGCUAGGGUUGAAGAUCUUCCCUCCACCAAACUCCAAACAUGAGCUCACGGCUUCUCCAAUGGUGGAAGUUGCACCAAAAAGCAAAAAGAGAAGAUUAACCCACCAAAACCCAAGCAAAAAGAGGGAAAAAUCAAGGGAAAUGGAGAGGGAGCUCACCUCUCCUUCUUCUCUGCGAGCAGCACAAGAGCCCCAACUAGGAGGUGUGGGGGAAUAUAUAGUGUUG
rnacentral:lncRNA from 1 species